rnacentral:rRNA from 1 species
GACGAACGCUGGCGGCGUGCCUAAUACAUGCAAGUAGAACGCUGAAGGAGGAGCUUGCUUCUCUGGAUGAGUUGCGAACGGGUGAGUAACGCGUAGGUAACCUGCCUGGUAGCGGGGGAUAACUAUUGGAAACGAUAGCUAAUACCGCAUAAUAUUGACUAUUGCAUGAUAGUCAGUUGAAAGGUGCAACUGCACCACUACCAGAUGGACCUGCGUUGUAUUAGCUAGUUGGUGGGGUAACGGCUCACCAAGGCGACGAUACAUAGCCGACCGGAGAGGGUGAUCGGCCACACUGGGACUGAGACACGGCCCAGACUCCUACGGGAGGCAGCAGUAGGGAAUCUUCGGCAAUGGACGGAAGUCUGACCGAGCAACGCCGCGGGAGUGAAGAAGGGUUUCGGAUCGUAAAGCUCGGUUGUAAGAGAAGAACGAGUGUGAGAGUGGAAAGCUCACACUGUGACGGUAUCUGACCAGAAAGGGACGGCUAACUACGUG